rnacentral:pre_miRNA from 1 species
AGCCCGUAUUUAUGAAUUUCCGCUGUAGUUUUGGGGCGUGACAGAAAGAUGGUAUCAGAGCUGAGGCUAUAGGUCCUAAAUUAUUUUGGAGAUGGUUAAGAAAUGGAAA